rnacentral:rRNA from 1 species
GUUGUAUAGUCAAGUAAUUAAGUGCAUGUGGUGGAUGCCUUGGCAGUCAGAGGCGAUGAAAGACGUGAUAGCCUGCGAAAAGCUCCGGGGAGGCGGCAAAUAUCCUUUGAUCCGGAGAUGUCUGAAUGGGGGAACCCACCUACUUUAAGGUAGGUAUUGCAACAUGAAUACAUAGUGUUGCAAGGCGAACGAGGGGAAGUGAAACAUCUCAGUACCCUUAGGAAAAGAAAUCAAUUGAGAUUCCCUCAGUAGCGGCGAGCGAACGGGGAUCAGCCCAUUAAGUUAUGUGUGUUUUAGUGGAACGCUCUGGGAAGUGCGAACGUAGAGGGUGAUAUUCCCGUACACGAAAGGGCACACAUAAUGAUGACGAGUAGGGCGAGGCACGUGAAACCUUGUCUGAAUAUGGGGGGACCAUCCUCCAAGGCUAAAUACUCCUGACUGACCGAUAGUGAACCAGUACCGUGAGGGAAAGGCGAAAAGAACCCCUGUGAGUGGAGUGAAAUAGAUCCUGAAACCGCAUGCAUACAAGCAGUGGGAGCACCUUCGUGGUGUGACUGCGUACCUUUUGUAUAAUGGGUCAGCGACUUAUAUUCAGUAGCGAGGUUAACCGUAUAGGGGAGCCGUAGAGAAAUCGAGUCUUAAUAGGGCGUUUAGUUGCUGGGUAUAGACCCGAAACCAGGCGAUCUAUCCAUGAGCAGGUUGAAGGUUGGGUAACACUAACUGGAGGACCGAACCCACUGUCGUUGAAAAGCCAGGGGAUGACUUGUGGAUAGGGGUGAAAGGCUAAUCAAGCCUGGUGAUAGCUGGUUCUCCCCGAAAGCUAUUUAGGUAGCGCCUCGGACGAAUACCAUAGGGGGUAGAGCACUGUUUCGGCUAGGGGGUCAUCCCGACUUACCAAACCGAUGCAAACUCCGAAUACCUAUGAGUACUAUCCGGGAGACAGACUGCGGGUGCUAACGUCCGUAGUCAAGAGGAAAACAAUCCAGACCGCCAGCUAAGGCCCCAAAAUCAUAGUUAAGUGGGAAACGAUGUGGGAAGGCAUAGACAGCUAGGAGGUUGGCUUAGAAGCAGCCACCCUUUAAAGAAAGCGUAAUAGCUCACUAGUCGAGUCGGCCUGCGCGGAAGAUGUAACGGGGCUAAAACUAUGUGCCGAAGCUGCGGAUGUAUACUUUGUAUACGUGGUAGGGGAGCGUUCUGUAAGCCGAUGAAGGUGUGUUGAGAAGCAUGCUGGAGGUAUCAGAAGUGCGAAUGCUGACGUGAGUAACGACAAAACGGGUGAAAAACCCGUUCGCCGAAAGACCAAGGGUUCCAGUCCAACGUUAAUCGGGGCUGGGUGAGUCGACCCCUAAGGCGAGGCCGAAAGGCGUAGUCGAUGGGAAAAUGGUUAAUAUUCCAUUACUUCUGUGUAAUGCGAUGAGAGGACGGAGAAGGCUAAAUCAGCCUGGCGUUGGUUGUCCAGGUGAAAGGAUGUAGGCAUGUAUCUUAGGCAAAUCCGGGGUACUCUAUGCUGAGAUCUGAUAGCAAGCUGUACUUGUACAGCGAAGUGGUUGAUGCCAUGCUUCCAGGAAAAGUCUCUAAGCUUCAGUUACACAGGAAUCGUACCCGAAACCGACACAGGUGGUCAGGUCGAGUAGACCAAGGCGCUUGAGAGAACUCUGCUGAAGGAACUAGGCAAAAUGGUACCGUAACUUCGGGAGAAGGUACGCUGUUGUUGGUGAUGGAACUCGCUUCCUGAGCUGACGACAGCCGCAGAAACCAGGCCGCUGCAACUGUUUAUUAAAAACAUAGCACUCUGCAAACACGAAAGUGGACGUAUAGGGUGUGAUGCCUGCCCGGUGCUGGAAGGUUAAUUGAUGGGGUUAGCGUAAGCGAAGCUCUUGAUCGAAGCCCCAGUAAACGGCGGCCGUAACUAUAACGGUCCUAAGGUAGCGAAAUUCCUUGUCGGGUAAGUUCCGACCUGCACGAAUGGCAUAAUGAUGGCGGCGCUGUCUCCAGCAGAGGCUCAGUGAAAUCGAAAUCGCUGUGAAGAUGCAGUGUACCCGCGGCUAGACGGAAAGACCCCGUGAACCUUUACUGCAGCUUGACACUGAACUUUGACCUUACUUGUGUAGGAUAGGUGGGAGGCUUUGAAGCUGGAACGCUAGAUCCAGUGGAGCCGUCCUUGAAAUACCACCCUGGUAAUGUUGAGGUUCUAACUCUGUCCCGUGAUCCGGGACGAGGACCGUGUCUGGUGGGUAGUUUGACUGGGGCGGUCUCCUCCUAAAGAGUAACGGAGGAGUACGAAGGUGCGCUCAGCGUGGUCGGAAAUCACGCGUAGAGUAUAAAGGCAAAAGCGCGCUUAACUGCGAGACCCACAAGUCGAGCAGGUACGAAAGUAGGUCUUAGUGAUCCGGUGGUUCUGUAUGGAAGGGCCAUCGCUCAACGGAUAAAAGGUACUCUGGGGAUAACAGGCUGAUACCGCCCAAGAGUUCAUAUCGACGGCGGUGUUUGGCACCUCGAUGUCGGCUCAUCUCAUCCUGGGGCUGAAGCAGGUCCCAAGGGUAUGGCUGUUCGCCAUUUAAAGAGGUACGCGAGCUGGGUUUAGAACGUCGUGAGACAGUUCGGUCCCUAUCUACCGUGGGCGCUGGAAAUUUGAGAGGAUCUGCUCCUAGUACGAGAGGACCAGAGUGGACGAACCUCUGGUGUACCGGUUGUGACGCCAGUCGCAUCGCCGGGUAGCUAUGUUCGGAAGGGAUAACCGCUGAAAGCAUCUAAGCGGGAAGCCUACCUCAAGAUAAGAUUUCCCUAGGACUUUAUGUCCUCUAAAGAGCCGUUCGAGACUAGGACGUUGAUAGGUUGGAUGUGGAAGCAUAGUGAUAUGUGAAGCUGACCAAUACUAAUUGCUCGUGAGGCUUGACUAUACAACACCCAAGCAGUUG